rnacentral:rRNA from 1 species
UGGGGAAUUUUGGACAAUGGGCGCAAGCCUGAUCCAGCCAUGCCGCGUGUCUGAAGAAGGCCUUCGGGUUGUAAAGGACUUUUGUCAGGGAAGAAAAGGGCGGGGUUAAUACCCCUGUCUGAUGACGGUACCUGAAGAAUAAGCACCGGCUAACUACGUGCCAGCAGCCGCGGUAAUACGUAGGGUGCGCGCGUUAAUCGGAAUUACUGGGCGUAAAGCGGGCGCAGACGGUUACUUAAGCAGGAUGUGAAAUCCCCGGGCUCAACCUGGGAACUGCGUUCUGAACUGGGUGACUAGAGUGUGUCAGAGGGAGGUAGAAUUCCACGUGUAGCAGUGAAAUGCGUAGAGAUGUGGAGGAAUACCGAUGGCGAAGGCAGCCUCCUGGGAUAACACUGACGUUCAUGCCCGAAAGCGUGGGUAGCAAACA